AACGUGCCCUAGAGUGGAGGAUAAUCUCGGGAAACUGGGGAUAAUACUCCAUAAGUCAGGAGUACUGGAAUGUCUCCUAACUGAAAGUUGCGGCGCCAUAGGAUGAAUCUGCGGCCGAUUAGGUAGUUGUUGGGGUAACGGCCCAGCAAGCCUGUAAUCGGUACGGGUUGUGGGAGCAAGAGCCCGGAGAUGGAAUCUGAGACACGAUUCCAGGCCCUACGGGGCGCAGCAUGUUUUUUAUUCUUUACAAUGCAGGAAACUGUGAUAAGGGAACCCCGAGUGCCCGUAAACGCGGGCUGUCCCGGUGUUUAAAACACAUCGGAAGAAAGGGCCGGGCAAGACCGGUGCCAGCCGCCGCGGUAAUACCGGCGGCUCGAGUGGUGACCACUUUUAUUGGGCUUAAAGCGUUCGUAGCUUGAUUUUUAAGUCUCUUGGGAAAUCUCACGGCUUAACUGUGAGGCGUCUAAGAGAUACUGGGAAUCUAGGGACCGGGAGAGGUAGAGGUACUUCAGG
rnacentral:rRNA from 1 species